rnacentral:rRNA from 1 species
CAGCCGCCGCGGGAAUACGUAUGUCACAAGCGUUAUCCGGAUUUAUUGGGCGUAAAGCGCGUCUAGGUGGUUAUGUAAGUCUGAUGUGAAAAUGCAGGGCUCAACUCUGUAUUGCGUUGGAAACUGUGUAACUAGAGUACUGGAGAGGUAAGCGGAACUACAAGUGUAGAGGUGAAAUUCGUAGAUAUUUGUAGGAAUGCCGAUGGGGAAGCCAGCUUACUGGACAGAUACUGACGCUGAAGCGCGAAAGCGUGGGUAGCAAACAGGAUUAGAGACCCCAGUAGUCCCUGUCUCUUAUACA